UAGGUUUUUUAACUGUGGAGACUGCGGACGGCUCACCUAAAUCCGUGAUAAUCUAUUUGAUUGUCUCUCCCAUUGGAUAACCGUGGGAAAUCUAGAGCUAAUACGUGCAGUUCAUUGGUGUGUCUUCGGAUACACCAAAGCAUUUAUUAAACUAAACCAUCUACCACGCUUCGGCGUAGUAAGGGGAAUCUGGAUAACUUUGCUGAUCGUAUGGCCUAGUGCCGGCGACGUUUCAAUUGAGUUUCUGCCCUAUCAACUUGUUGGUAAGGUAUUGGCUUACCAAGGUUGCAACGGGUAACGGGGAAUCAGGGUUCGAUUCCGGAGAGGGAGCCUGAGAAACGGCUACCACAUCCAAGGAAGGCAACAGGCGCGCAAAUUACCCAAUCUAGACAGUAGGAGGUGGUGAAGAGAAUUACUAAAUGGUGGUCUACCCAGAUCACUCGCUUGGAAUGAAACGUAACUUAAGAAAUUCGAUGAAAAAACAACUGGAGGGCAAGUCCUGGUGCCAGCAGCCGCGGUAAUUCCAGCUCCAGUAGUUUGCUUUUAAAGUUGUUGCGUUUAAAACGCUCGUAGUUGGAUCACGCAGCGGUGGUGAGUAAUCUUUUGCGACGGGAUGGUAAAUGAGCCCGUUUUGCGACGGCCAUGAAUCAAACUAAGCAAAAGGUAAAAAUGCUGAUCAUCGCUAGUUGCACGUGAGAUAGAUUGUUGGCCUUUGAUGUGCCGAUAUUCUGGUCUUGCGGAGUGUGCCUUGAAUAAAACAGAUUGCUUAAAGCAGGUCGUUGCCUGAAUGUUAUAGCAUGGAACGAACAAUCGUGUUUAUGUGUACGCCUACUGAUGGUAGCAGAGCCUUUAGUUUGUUGUUAUUGAAGACGUGCACGGCACCAACCAAUAUGGCUGUUGGUUCCAUAUACAGUGAUGAUAACAGGAGCGGUUGGGGGCAUCGUAUUGGCCGCGAGAGUGAAAUUCUAGACAGUCAAGGACUACCAAUGCAAGGCACUUG
rnacentral:rRNA from 1 species